rnacentral:rRNA from 1 species
UACCAGCUCUCCGAGUGGUAGGGAUGAUUAUUGGGCUUAAAGCGUCCGUAGCUGGCUUAGCAAGUCUCCUGUUAAAUUCAGCGACCUAAUCGUUGAGCCGCGGGAGAUACUAUUAGGCUAGGAGGCGGGAGAGGUCGACGGUACUUUCGGGGUAGGGGUGAAAUCCUAUAAUCCCGGGAGGACCACCAGUGGCGAAGGCUGUCGACUAGAACGCGCUCGACGGUGAGGGACGGAAGCUGGGGGAGCGAACCGGAUUAGAUACCCGGGUAGUCCCAGCUGUAAACUAUGCGGGCUAGGUGUUGGGGUGACUACGGGCCACUUCAGUGCCGCAGGCAAGCCAUUAAGCCCGCCGCCUGGGGAGUACGGCCGCAAGGCUGAAACUUAAAGGAAUUGGCGGGGAGCACCACAAGGCGUGAAGCUUGCGGUUC